rnacentral:rRNA from 1 species
GUCCGGAUUUAUUGGGNGUAAAGCGAGCGCAGGCGGUUAGAUAAGUCUGAAGUUAAAGGCUGUGGCUUAACCAUAGUACGCUUUGGAANCUGUUUAACUUGAGUGCAGAAGGGGAGAGUGGAAUUCCAUGUGUAGCGGUGAAAUGCGUAGAUAUAUGGAGGAACACCGGUGGCGAAAGCGGCUCUCUGGUCUGUAACUGACGCUGAGGCUCGAAAGCGUGGGGAGCGAACAGGAUUAGAUACCCUGGUAGUCCACGCCGUAAACGAUGAGUGCUAGGUGUUAGGCCCUUUCCGGGGCUUAGUGCCGCAGCUAACGCAUUAAGCACUCCGCCUGGGGAGUACGACCGCAAGGUUGAAACUCAAAGGAAUUGACGGGGGCCCGCACAAGCGGUGGAGCAUGUGGUUUAAUUCGAAGCAACGCGAAGAACCUUACCAGGUCUUGACAUCCCGAUGCCCGCUCUAGAGAUAGAGUUUUACUUCGGUACAUCGGUGACAGGUGGUGCAUGGUUGUCGUCAGCUCGUGUCGUGAGAUGUUGGGUUAAGUCCCGCAACGAGCGCAACCCUUAUUGUUAGUUGCCAUCAUUCAGUUGGGCACUCUAGCGAGACUGCCGGUAAUAAACCGGAGGAAGGUGGGGAUGACGUCAAAUCAUCAUGCCCCUUAUGACCUGGGCUACACACGUGCUACAAUGGCUGGUACAACGAGUCGCAAGUCGGUGACGGCAAGCUAAUCUCUUAAAGCCAGUCUCAGUUCGGAUUGUAGGCUGCAACUCGCCUACAUGAAGUCGGAAUCGCUAGUAAUCGCGGAUCAGCACGCCGCGGUGAAUACGUUCCCGGGCCUUGUACACACCGCCCGUCACACCACGAGAGUUUGUAACACCCGAAGUCGGUGAGGUANCCUUUUAGGA